UACGGGGGGAGCAAGCGUUGUUCGGAUUUACUGGGCGUAAAGGGCGCGUAGGCGGCCACCGCAAGUCGACUGUGAAAUCUCCGGGCUUAACUCGGAAAGGUCAGCCGAUACUGCGGGGCUAGAGUGCAGAAGGGGCAACUGGAAUUCUCGGUGUAGCGGUGAAAUGCGUAGAUAUCGAGAGGAACACCUGCGGCGAAGGCGACUUCCUGGCCUGUUCUUGACGCUGAGGCGCGAAAGCUAGGGGAGCAAACGGG
rnacentral:rRNA from 1 species